rnacentral:misc_RNA from 1 species
UUUCCGUAGGUCGCUAGAGUUCAGCCUACCAAAGCAAACCUUUCAAAACUGCUAGUCUCUCCCCGAGGCGACACGCUCAAUGUUGCGGAGAGGCCCUCUUUUCAGAGGGUAAUCCGCAGCCGGCCCCCUAAAGGCUGGUUCAGAGACUCAAUGAGUGUGGGUUUGGCCUUUUGGCCAGGCUUAAGAUAGAGCCCGUCCCUGUAGGCAACUGCGGGGGAUGAACGGAACCUGCGGAAGGAUCAUUAAAGAAUCGGUGACCCUCGCGGUCCCAUUCUCACCCUUUGUAUACCAAACUUCAGUUGCUUUGGCUGGCCUUCGCGGGCCGGCCAGAGGACUCAAACCCUUGAAUCUUUGCUGUCUGAGUACUAUAUAAUAGUUAAAACUUUCAACAACGGAUCUCUUGGUUCUG